rnacentral:rRNA from 1 species
ACAACGAAGUUAAGCAUCAUUGGGCGCGGUCAGUACUUGGGUGGGUGACCACCUGGGAACACUGCGUGCCGUU